GUUAAUCAGUCAACAUCAUUACAUGGCCCAAAAGAUAGAUCCUAGAAAAAGAUAAAAGAUAAGACUAACUACAAGGAUCUAGUAGAGCUCAUGACUAGAUGGAUCGGAAUCAGAUGUAUCGGAGAUAGGGUGGGGAGAUGAUGGAUCACGACCAAGGGCUCGUCCUCUACCCCGUCUGCCUCUGCCACGAGUGGAGGUGCUGGCACGAGUAGGUGGGCGAGAUGAUCCUGAAGGCUGAGAAGCAAUAGACUGAACUGCAAGAGAGAGCCUGAUGGUGUCAAGAAGGUUCAGAGCUCUCGAAACAGACUGAAGCAGUGCAGUGAACUGUGUGGAUGCAUGCUCACUAGAGCCUCUGAUCUCUCUCCUCA
rnacentral:lncRNA from 1 species